UACGUAGGGUGCGAGCGUUAAUCGGAAUUACUGGGCGUAAAGUGUGCGCAGGCGGCCGAGCAAGUCGAGUGUGAAAGCCCCGAGCUUAACUUGGGAACUGCGCUUGUUACUGGCAGGCUUGAGUGUGGCAGAGGGGGGUGGAAUUCCACGUGUAGCAGUGAAAUGCGUAGAGAUGUGGAGGAACACCGAUGGCGAAGGCAGCCCCCUGGGCUAACACUGACGCUCAUGCACGAAAGCGUGGGGAGCAAAAGGG
rnacentral:rRNA from 1 species